rnacentral:rRNA from 1 species
GUGAGGAAUAUUGGUCAAUGGGCGGGAGCCUGAACCAGCCAAGUCGCGUGAAGGAAGAAGGAUCUAUGGUUCGUAAACUUCUUUUGCAGGGGAAUAAAGUGCAGGACGUGUCCUGUUUUGUAUGUACCCUGAGAAUAAGGAUCGGCUAACUCCGUGCCAGCAGCCGCGGUAAUACGGAGGAUCCGAGCGUUAUCCGGAUUUAUUGGGUUUAAAGGGUGCGUAGGUGGUUUGAUAAGUCAGCGGUGAAAGUUUGCAGCUUAACUGUAAAAAUGCCGUUGAAACUGUCGGACUUGAGUGUAAAUGAGGUAGGCGGAAUGCGUGGUGUAGCGGUGAAAUGCAUAGAUAUCACGCAGAACUCCGAUUGCGAAGGCAGCUUACUAAGCUACAACUGACACUGAAGCACGAAAGCGUGGGGAUCAAACAGGAUUAGAUACCCGUGUAGUCC